AUUGAACGCUGGCGGCAUGCCUUACACAUGCAAGUCGAACGGCAGCACGGGUGCUUUCGCUUGGUUGCUAGUGGCUGGCGGAUGAGUAAUAAAUCGGAACAUGUCCGGCAGUGGGGGAUAGCCCGGCGAAAGCCGGAUUAAUACCUCAUACGAUCCACGGAUGAAAGCGGGGGACGUUCGUGCCGCGCGCUUGACGUUUGGCGUAUGGCGGAUUAGCUAGUUGGUGGGGUAAAGGCCUACCAAGGCGACGAUCAGUAGCUGGUCUGAGAGGACGACCAGCCACACUGGAACUGAGACACGGCCCAGACUCCUACGGGAGGCAGCAGUGGGGAAUUUUGGACAAUGGGCGAAAGCCUGAUCCAGCCAUGCCGCGUGUAUGAAGAAGGCCUUCGGGUUGUAAAGCACUUUUGUCCGGAAAGAAAUCCUUGACUCUAAUACAGUCGGGGGAUGACGUUACCGGAAGAAUAAGCACCGGCUAACUACGUG
rnacentral:rRNA from 1 species